rnacentral:rRNA from 1 species
UACGUGGGCAGCAAGCGUUGUUCGGAGUUACUGGGCGUAAAGGGUGUGUAGGCGGUUGGAUAAGUGUGGUGUGAAAUCUCCCGGCUCAACUGGGAGGGUGCGCUACAAACUGUCUGACUAGAGUGUGGGAUGGGAAAGUGGAAUUCCUGGUGUAGCGGUGAAAUGCGUAGAUAUCGGGAGGAACACCAGUAGCGAAGGCGGCACUCUGGGCCGGUACUGACGCUGAGGAGCGAAAGCGUGGGGAGCAAACAGG